UACGUAGGGGGCAAGCGUUGUCCGGAAUCAUUGGGCGUAAAGAGCGUGUAGGCGGUCCGGUAAGUCGGCUGUGAAAGUCCAGGGCUCAACCCUGGGAUGCCGGUCGAUACUGCCGGACUAGAGUUCGGAAGAGGCGAGUGGAAUUCCCGGUGUAGCGGUGAAAUGCGCAGAUAUCGGGAGGAACACCUAUGGCGAAGGCAGCUCGCUGGGACGUUACUGACGCUGAGACGCGAAAGCGUGGGGAGCGAACGGG
rnacentral:rRNA from 1 species